rnacentral:lncRNA from 1 species
AUUGCAUCUUGAGUUCUGUAUCACAGAGAAGAAAGCACAAUUCUUAGUAGCUCUCAAGGUUAUGGAGACAACACAUUCUAUACAAUGGGAAAACUGCUCUGUCCCAUCCAUGCGGUGAAUGAGGACUAGGUCAGGAAGGUGUUCUGCAAGCAUUGGAAUAAAUAACAGAAGCUCAAACCAGAGUCUUGGAAUUCGCCGUAGAAUGAAAUGUGAAGUCUCACCUGCCCGGAUCAAAAACGGAGAAUGUUUCUUCACAUAUGAGUCACUACCCCUAGCAAAAGGUCUGCUCCAGUGGCAUCAGCUAUCCAGACCUAGACAUGCCAGAAAAAGCCUUUGGGCAGAGAUUCUCAUGAGACCAUGGUAGGAAGGCUCCCAGAUGUAGGAAGCCACAAACCAAAAGACCUAGAUGACAAGAAUGAGAUCAAGAAUGCACAGUGGUGUGACUGGAUAAGGCAGGACCUUGGUAGCCUUCCUGGAAUGAAUGAUUCACCAUGUCAGAGAAUUGCAGAGCUGUGGCCUGGAACCAGAGGAUGGCGGAGGUAAAAAGGGACAUACCAACAUUCAGGGCUCUACCUCAAAACCAUUAAAAAAUUUACUGUUCUCUUACUAACAUAUAAACAUAUCAUGUUUCACUUCUCCCUGUAUAAUUAGG